rnacentral:rRNA from 1 species
UAGGGAAUCUUCCGCACUGUGCGAAAGCCUGACGGAGCUACGCGGCGUGAGGGAUCAAGGUCUUCGGAUCGGUACACUCUGUUAUUAGGGAAGAACCCAUGUGUGCGACACUAUGCACGUCUUGACGUUACCUCAUCGUAAAGCCGCGCACAGCUACGUGCCCGCACCCUGUGUCAUACUGAGGUGGCAAGCGUUAUCCGUCAUUAUUGGGCGUAAAGCGCGCGUAGGCGGUUUUUUAAGUCUGAUGUGAAAGCCCACGGCUCAACCGUGGAGGGUCAUUGGAAACUGGAAAACUUGAGUGCAGAAGAGGAAAGUGGAAUUCCAUGUGUAGCGGUGAAAUGCGCAGAGAUAUGGAGGAACACCAGUGGCGAAGGCGACUUUCUGGUCUGUAACUGACGCUGAUGUGCGAAAGCGUGGGGAUCAAACAGG